rnacentral:lncRNA from 1 species
GAUUUUCUUUACAUUUGACUAAAUCAGGCCUAUCAACAUAGAUACAGUGAUCAACAACUCUUAAACUUUUAUGACAUAUGUCGUUUCUUUUUUUGCAGCUUUUGUAAGUUAUGGAUAUGUUUUAAGUUGACAAUCUUUGACAGUAAAGGCGGCACCAGACCGGAGCAUUUUGUAGUGCACUCCUCACUGUUGCUUGCAAUUUCAGGCGUUGGUACUUGCAGAAGGGGUUGAAAAUGUUGGCAAAUUGAAAAUGCAUUAGCCUUCUCCUUGUGUUCCUAUAUUCUCCAUGGCCAUAGCAUCACAGCAUAGCAACCCCACGGAUCGAGAUACGGUCGCCUAGCUGGAUGUUCCACCAGGUUCAAGUGGUGCUGAAACUAGUUGCAAGAUAGAGUAGCUUGAAAGAUAUGCAGAUUUAAAAAAAGUAAAUCUAUGUCAUGGAAGCUAAUCUGAUAUGAUAUUGUUGUAUCAAAGAGACCUUGAAAGUUUCCCAUUUAUGGUGAUUAAUUAUCUCUUAUGAAACCUGAACUAAAGGACAUUUACAUAGGGAAGAUGAAUCUUUAUGUGACAGUGUACCUUCCAUGACAGAGAAAUUAGGCCUAAAAAAUCUCAACCUUGUGAUAAUUUUAAUUUUCUGAACGCAAUGAUGGACCCUCUAUCAGUCUGGUUUAACCAUUAUGCACGUCACUCGUGACUGUAGCUAGCUAAAGUGUCCUCUUUUUUUUCUCACAGCAUUUGAAACUUUUCACUACUGCAACUUGUUCAACCAAAUUUAAACCAAAAGCAUGUCGCUUCUCGUGCCUUAUUCGUGUUCGACGGGGAUUCAACAUUGUUUUCCUUUGGAUCCCAAGCAUUCCUGGUUAAAAAAGGGACCAUAUUGCCAGUCAUGCCAGCUUCUCUAUAUUUAGCAAGCUAAAAAUCUGUCAAUCUUAAUUCGUUUCAAACGAUGGAAAUGACCCAUUUUUUUUAGCGUAUCUAAAUUGCAAUGUACCCCUUACAUAGAACAAUAAAGUGGAUGAUAAGGAUAUGUCCAAGCUGUAUCAGCAUUAAUAACCAAAAAAGAAAAAGUCGGGGGUGGGGUAAGGUGGGGGCCUGAGUUGGUGUAAUCAUGUUUUGUACAUAAAGGAAACACUGGUCUCUUUAAAUCAUGUACCUUGCCUCGUUCCUUCCAUACACUUGGAAUCCAAACGGUUAAUAAGGACCAAAUGAUGGCCCUACAGAUUUGGUACCUUUGAUUCUGUCCAUGCAACAUGUUGACACUUUUGCAAAUUGCAGAACUUUUAUCUCUUAUGAUGAUGAUUUUGUCAUAUUUGCAAAACUCCAGCCACUUGUUUCAUACAUUAUUGACAUUCAUACAUGAUAAAAUGAGUGAAAAUGCUAUAUCUAGAUCGUAUUAAUAUAUGUUUACCAGCAUGGAAACUUAC